ensembl:rRNA 5S_rRNA 5S ribosomal RNA
UCCUAGAGACAUACUACCCUCAAAACACCUGAUCUCCGAAGUGAAGCAGGGUUGGGCCUGGUUAGUACCUGGCUGGAAGGAGAUGGUACAAUCAACUCCCUGGUAC